rnacentral:ncRNA from 1 species
GCAGAGGACUCAUAGCGAAAGUUGUGCCUUAUGCGUGGAAACUGCAUAAGGGAUGGUGUCAAAUUCGGAGAAAGCUAAAGGUAGAAAUAUCUAAGCUAACGCCGAGCGAAGCUUAGUAAGAAAUUACUUUGAACGUGUAGAGACUAGACGGCACCCACCUAAGUUCAGAAAUGAAUACGGUGAAGGCAUAGUCCAGGGAGUAAUGAAAAUUACAC